GUUGGGAACUAGGAUCUAGCUUCGGUCUUAUUUCGGCUGUGCGCUCAGGCUGCACGCCGAUAACCUCUCACACCUGUGCACCUUUUCGGUUGCGGUUUCGGCCGCUUCCGCUUUUACAUGCAACCACGAAAAGUCUAGAAUGUGACGAGAACUAUAAAGUAACAACUUUCAACAACGGAUCUCUUGGCUCUCGCAUCGAUGAAGAACGCAGCGAAAUGCGAUAAGUAAUGUGAAUUGCAGAAUUCAGUGAAUCAUCGAAUCUUUGAACGCACCUUGCGCUCCUUGGUAUUCCAUGGAGCAUGCCUGUUUGAGUGUCACGUAAACCCUCACCCCUGCGAUGUAACAGUCGCCUGCGGUGGACUUGGACCGUGCCGGUAAUCGGCUCGUCUUGAAAUGCAUUAGCUGGCGCUUUUAGAGUGCUGGGCGAACGGUGUGAUAAUUAUCUGCGCCGACUGCCCUGGGCCUCUUCAGCGGCGCUGCUUACAGCCGUCCCUUGCGGACAACUAUUUUAAAGCUUUGGCCUCAAAUCAGGUAGGACUACCCGCUGAACUUAAGCAUAUCAA
rnacentral:rRNA from 1 species